rnacentral:lncRNA from 1 species
CGGCCCCGGCCCAGCCCCGAGCCCGAGGAAGCCCCGGCGCGUCCCCCCCGCAGCCAUGGCAGGGCUGGUGGUGAGCGGAGCACAAGUGUCCUAUAUUAGUCAAGACUGUGAAGAAAUUCCAGAAUUCCUAGGAAGAAAAUAUGGACAUAUGGCAAAAAGGCUAGAUCUUAGCUUCAACUUGUUAAGUAUUUCUUCAUCACUGCUGUUGUGAAACAAGAACGAAGGACUGCAGGAAUAGCUGUUGUCUGAGGACAAGGAGCUUGACUGGAGGGAAGAACCUGCAUUAACCCUGGAUCUAUUGUCUAUUUCUUUUCCUCUCUGUUUUGCUGAAAGGUGUCUUCUUUCCCUAAUGCAGUACACAAGAUUCCCAGCAUCUGGUUGCAGAUGUAAAAUACUUAACUAGUUUUGCUUACCAAUCACUGAGUAAGAAGAAUGUCUGUCCUGCAGUAUUCAGCAAACCUGCUGAGUGGUUAUGGUACAAAUAACUAGCUGGCAUUUUGCAGGUAAAA